rnacentral:rRNA from 1 species
CGGCGUGCUUAACACAUGCAAGUCGAACGGAAAGGCCCCGCUUGCGGGGUACUCGAGUGGCGAACGGGUGAGUAACACGUGGGUGAUCUACCCUGCACUUCGGGAUAAGCCUGGGAAACUGGGUCUAAUACCGGAUAGGACCCCUCUUUAGUGUGGGGGGUGGAAAGUUUUUUCGGUGUGGGAUGAGCCCGCGGCCUAUCAGCUUGUUGGUGGGGUAAUGGCCUACCAAGGCGUCGACGGGUAGCCGGCCUGAGAGGGUGGACGGCCACAUUGGGACUGAGAUACGGCCCAGACUCCUACGGGAGGCAGCAGUGGGGAAUAUUGCACAAUGGGCGGAAGCCUGAUGCAGCGACGCCGCGUGGGGGAUGACGGCCUUCGGGUUGUAAACCUCUUUCGCUAGGGACGAAGCUUUUGUGACGGUACCUAGAUAAGAAGCACCGGCUAACUACGUGCCAGCAGCCGCGGUAAUACGUAGGGUGCGAGCGUUGUCCGGAAUUACUGGGCGUAAAGAGCUCGUAGGUGGUUUGUCGCGUCGUCUGUGAAAUUCCGGGGCUUAACUUCGGGCGUGCAGGCGAUACGGGCAAUACUUGAGUGCUGUAGGGGAGACUGGAAUUCCUGGUGUAGCGGUGGAAUGCGCAGAUAUCAGGAGGAACACCGAUGGCGAAGGCAGGUCUCUGGGCAGUAACUGACGCUGAGGAGCGAAAGCAUGGGUAGCGAACAGGAUUAGAUACCCUGGUAGUCCAUGCCGUAAACGGUGGGCGCUAGGUGUAGGGGUCUUCCACGACUUCUGUGCCGUAGCUAACGCAUUAAGCGCCCCGCCUGGGGAGUACGGCCCGCAAGGCUAAAACUCAAAUGAAUUGACGG